GAAAUGUUUGUCGAUUUUAUUGAUUUUUAUUGAGUUUUUAACAUUUUUUGAGAUCUUAUAUAAUUUGAACGGGCCUAUGGAAUAAUAAAAAUAUACAGAUCAAGCCCUUAAUAACAUACAUUAUAUUUCAAUCAAAAUAGACAUUUUAUCUUUAUUCAUAAUAUUUAAUAUAUAUCUCAACUAAAAAAGCAUAAUCCUACACUAAGGACUCAAAUACAUCACACGUCAUAACAUAACACUUUCCGUAUCUCUCUGGUAUAAUUUUUUUUCAACACAAAAAUAUUCAUAACGAUGUAUUUUGAUUUUAUUUAUACUCAUUUGUCAAUAUUUUGUCUUUUAACUUAUCACCGUUUAAUACAAAUAACUUUCCCAUAAAAUUGAGCAUAUUAUAUAGUAUAGGUGCAAAACAAAAUACUGAAUUUAUCUGUAGUUCUAUCACUUACUAAUUACUUAACCCAUCUAGAGUAUACACGCUUUAAAUUGUUGAAUACUAAUUAAUUUACAUUUGCAAUAUGCUAAGAAACGUUUGCGCUCAAUUAUGGACACGACUAGAAUUGAAAAAAGUAUCAUUGUAUAUAACUCAUUCGAUUACUUAAUGGGAAAAAACAAGGAAUCCAAGAGGACGACUGGUAGGACUCACCGCGAAACGAUACAAGCUGGUGCUGAAAACCAAGCUUCUCAUCAGGAUCAUCCUUAUUAUCAUCAUGACAAGAAUAAUCUCCAAGCAUAGCAGCAUAUCAACCUCAUGCAAGUAGUGAAUGCUUCUUGGUACAUCAGGAUCCAGCGGAUCUAUCGACAGGUGGAUCAGAUUAAAGUCAUGGAGGAAAUCGUCAAAAUAUAAAUAAACAGGCUGUGAGAAAAAUACCAGAUUCUAAUGCCAAAACGAAAAAAAAAACAGUACUGAAUAAACGAAGAGGAUAGCCUGCCACUAAACUUGUGCAAAUACAAUAGAGAGAAAAUAACAGAGGAGAUUGAUGAUUCUAUUGAACGCGAUUGGGUGUAGGAAGAAACUUUUCUCGAAAUGCAUCGUUCUUGGAUGUAUGUAUUUGGAUUAGGUGUGGUAUAUUACUGAUUCGAUCCAAGCCAAGUUUAAUGUAUCAUAUUGAUGCAGUCAUGAAACCAUAAAAGUACGGUAUCCCCAAGAGUUAUUUAAAAUAGUAAACCAACCAGAGUCAAAUGUAGCAGAAUAAAACUCAACUGGACUGGUUUGAUGAAGAUUAUUUGAUUAGAGACGAAGAAGGAGACCAAUGAAAGAAGAAGAUUCUAUACAAACAGUGAAACAUAGUGGCUGCAAUAUUGAAAUGUAAGUUGUCUAAUAGCUCAAGGCAUUGUACCAAUUUCCAAAAUCUAGAUAGAAAAUGUACCAUGCCUUACCCAAAAAACACGUCGAAAGUACUGGAAUAUUGGCUAAAUAAUGAAUAAAAAGCUGAUAUAUGAACGAGAACAAGAACAUUGGUAUUAUGGGUAAUGUGACAAAGUCUAGAAAGUAUCAAACAAGCAAAAUGUCAUUGGACUUCUACAAAUACCAUACACUUUGCAUCGUGUAGGUAUUCUCUAGUCCAAAACUUCUAAUCUAUUAUCUGAAGGCACCCCUCUUCUUCACGACGAAAAAUUGUUGCUGCACCCCGAAUGCCACACCAGUCUCUUAGAUUUCGUAGCCAGGAAUGUUGUUACCGCCCUGGUCCUCUCCUUCCGUCGAUCUUUCUCAUCAGUAUGAGCUACAGAGUUGAAUAUCUCGGUCAUUGGACAAGUAUUGAAAUUAUGAAGUCAGUCCCAAAAGUGAACCAAACGUAUUUGCGAUGAUUAAAAAUGAAUGUUUUUUAGCUUAUCGGAAUUAGUUAAAGUUCUAUACAAAUAUAUUUAUUUUCAACAGUUAAACCAAAAUGUUAAACAUGAACAUUAUUCAUUUUUGCACCUUACUGUAUAUGUACUGUAUAAGUUUAUAUGUAUUUUAUAGAAUAUUAAGAAUGUUCUAUAUGCAAUCAUGUUUCGUUUUCAAAUAUUUGCUAGCGAAUGUACAAAAGAUUUUGUUAGAAAAUAAUAAAAUACUAAAUAAUUACAUACAAUUUUUACAGGGAGGUACGAAAAGUUUACAUCAUUUCUGUAAAUCAGAAUCGAUCGAAAAGUCAUGCUUUGUUGUAGUUAGAUCGACCUGCUAAUUUCUCCCUUCGCUAAUAAGUACUUUAAUAGGCUUAGUUGUGGAGGUCACCAUAAACAGUCUAUUAUAUUUCUGUAAGAAUCAAACGGAGUACUAAACUAUAGUAUGAUUUUUGUACUAUAUUAUAUAUUAAUUUACGCUUAGAGCUAAAGAUUGUAAAAGUAACAUUUAUAGUCUAUAUUUUACUUGUGAUUUUUCUCUUACGUAUGUACUGGUAUUAUAUAUAUAUAUAAUUAGAUUUAAAUUCGAUAUAUAAGGAAGAACGAUCAAUUUAAUACAAGGCGAGGUACAAUAAACCGUUCCUUGAUUCCGCUCUCUCCAAUCCUUAUUAAAACAAAUUAAUGAAUUAUUGACUUACUACAAAGAGAAUUUAAUUGAAAAUUUAUCAUAAUUCUAAAUCCAGAAAAAGAUUUUAAUAAUUUAAUCUCUUGAAACUGUCAAAACAUUAAUGAAAAUGAAAGUUAUUUAUGGUCCAUUCAAAAGCAACAAUAUAUAUUACAAGGAGUGAAACAUGAUAGUAAAUACUACUAUAUAACAAGGUAUCCCGACUUUUGAUGAUUAAAAUUUGAACCAAAAAUGUGACUCUUCUUCAAAAAUCUAUUCAUUGAAUCAAUUCUUCUACGUAACAAACAUUUAGCUGGUUAAAAUCAAAAGCCGAAAUUUCUAUGGCAACAUACGAGAAAUGCACGCAGGAAAAUCAACUAGUAACGAAAAGAAAUGUACAAAAAAGAUUUACAAUAGUUUCAAUAAGUUAAAUUAAAGAAAUGAAAAAGUUCAAACUUGAAGUGUCAAGAAAUAGGACUGAGACUUUUGUGUAUUUACAUUCCAAUAUUGUUCUUGUACAUGGAGUAGUUUCGUUUUAGAAUAUAUUAAAGAUGGAAGCAAAGUCUGUGAACAAACUAGUCCAAAUCAUUAGUGUGAAUAGUUUAUCUCUGACUGGUUUAACCAGAAUUCCAGUGACAACAACCUCACUAUAUUUUUUAUCGGUGAAAUAAUACAGUUCACUAAUAAAUAACAUAGCAAAUUAAUAAUAUUUAUCCAGAAGAAAACACAAAUUAAAAUAGGAAAAGUAAAAUCUUUACUUGAUGAUUGUAAAUAUUAGUAAAUAAAGGAGAAGUUACGUCGAAUAAUAUUAGGUGUGAAAUGAGAAUUGAUGGCAAACGCUAGAGUAAUAGACGAAAGCUUUAUCACUAUAAGAAUAAAAAUAUAUCAACAUAAAUUUUGAAAAAGUAGAUAAAAAUACAGAUGUAGAAAAGAAUGAGAUAAAGUUCCUUGAUUCGAAAUGAAAGACCAAAAAAAAAACAAAGUACAAACAUGAAACAGUGAAAAUCUUCAUUAGAUGGAAAGGAUUAGAUCAAAUUUUACUGUGGAACUUAAUUACGUCUUAUAAUUUAUUAUUAAUUCAACGAAUAACAGCGAAAAUCCAGACAGGAUUUUAAUAAUUUAUCUUCUUUAGAAAUUCCUGUCUACUCAACUCUGUCAAAACGUUAAUGGGAAAGGAUAGCUAAAAUUUGUUAGUAAAAACCAAAGUAAAACAAGGUACUUCAACUUUAACACAUGAGCUCUGAUAUAAUAUGAAUAGAAAAUGCACUUGCGAGUCAAAAAUAUCCAGUGCGGAAAUCGUAAGAGACGAAGAUACAAUUAACGAUUCUCAAAUUUCUUGAAUCGAAUUGAAAACGUGAGACAAACAUGAUUAAGACACUGAAAAUUUACUUACUAGGUAAGUAGGUUAGAAAAAAAGAAAAAAGUAACAUUUAAUUUUCCGUAUGAAUAUUCGAAUUUGAUAUGUUACUUACUACUUAUUUUAUUUUAGUACCACACCACAUAUCUCAAAGACAUUUUAAAAAAAUUGGAGCCAAUCGUACGGAGAAUAAUUUUAAAAUGAAUGAAAUUAGAAUAUAUAAAAAAAUAAAUCAAUUUAAGGGCAGUACGUCACGAAAAGUUUUUAAUACAUCACUUAAUUAAACAACAAUUUCUGUAAGCUUUUAUCGAGAUAGUAAAAACAAUUAUGAGUAUAGAGGAAACGAAUGAUGUCUACUUAGUAAUAUUUUUCUGAAAAAUAACUGUUUUUAUUAGAUUGGUAUCGUUUUUUUUAACAAAUAAAUUAUAAUCUUAGUUGGAUCUACAACUCCGUCUGAUUCGAGUAUUAAUUUUAAUUUUAUACUAAAAUUACACGACCAAGGUUUCCGACCUAGCUAUAUAAGUUUAAAUGACUAUAUUAUGUCUCAAAAUAUAUAGAAUAUAUAAUGAGUAGCCCUCCGAUUUCCUAAUCGUGAAUUUUAAUCGAUUGGGAAAACUAAUGAGGUUAUUUACACUGGGCAUAUAGAAAUAUAUGGAAUUUUAUUUUUCUAUUUAUUAAUACUUAUUGCGAUUGGGCGAUGUCCAGUAAAAUUUUUUUUACAAAUGUCAUUUCGCAACCUGAAGGCCUCUUAAUAAAAUACAAAAAAAUCCUAACAAACAUUUCUUUUUCGAUUAGAUAUCAAACAUACACAGUAGGUAUCCCAUAAAAAAUAAUUAAACUAAUCAGUUACACUGUAUAAUUGUAAUACCAUAGAAUGCGUUAUUUUAUAAAGAUGCUACACGUGUUUAACCUAUGUAUGUGUAGUAAAAGAAUGAUUUGUUGUCGAAACCCCCAAUUUAGAUAUUUUCUAGUUUACUUUAUUGUACUUUAAAUAGAACCGAACCAAAAAAAGUUGUAUUGCAAAUAUUGAUAAUUCUCAUUCACGAGUUGUGAUCAUCAAAUUUGAGCAUGAUACCGAUAAAAACAAUUAACAUUUCCUUAAAACAAUUAUGAAAUACGAAUAGCGAUAUAAUAAAGAACGAACAAUUUACGAGAAAUGAAUGAAUAAAUAAUUUUUUUCGUAAUUAAUCAGAGAACAUCCAAAAAAUAAUAAAUAUCAGGUAAACUAUGCAAAUAAAAGGGACAACCCCACCUCAAACUUAAAGAGGACUUAACAAGAUAGCAUUUAAUUAAACAUGGCAACUAAAUUAGUUUAAGAAACAUGGCGAUUAAAAACUAUCAAAAAAGAUGAACUUUUUAAUAAGAUCUUGUGUUAUACCCCAGAUACUUAGAAAACAAAUAGACCUAAUUUGGCGACUUGUUCUUUAGGAACAGCACACUAUGAUACGAGUAAAAAAUCAAUUUGAAUCAAUACACGAUAAGAACCAGAAAGAUUUGUAAGAAGAAAACACAGAACCUUUUAGGUUGGGAGUAAGUAGAAGAUGAUGAAAUAAAUUCCACAACAAGCUUAUAUCUGAUAAUAUUUGUUGUUUAUCGAUUCCGAGGAAGAGUAUGACACAAUAAAAACGAUAAGACCGAUAAACAAUUUCAUGAAUUUUGAAAUGUCCCUAAAGCUCUUUGAUCUAGUAAAGUAAACAUGGCACUUUGAUAAAUUUGUUUUACAGCAGGGAUUCCCAUAGUAGUCGAUAUCGAAUACUUGGGGUCGUAAUCGGUUUUCCAGAGGUCGACAUAAACGAAAACUGAUUUUGAGAUUGGAUGAUAAGUUUAUUCACUCAACCAAAAGAAACUUUUUGGAAUUGGUAAGUAUGUUGUAUCGAAAAAUGUAUAGAAAAAACUUGAGAUGGUAUUUUUGAAGUGAUUAGUCUACGGGAAUCUACGAUAUUAAAUCAUUUUGAAAAAGGUUUUUUAUUACCAAAAUAGUUCAGAAUCCCUGUUUUAGAGGAUAUUUAUGAGUAAAAAUGCGAGAAAUACACAGAAACGAUAUUAAAGAGAAAAAUAAAAUAUAUUAGACCUGGUAAUUGAUAUUUAUAUAACAAUAAGGGAUGUAUUUGAGAAUAGACAUAUACCUUAGCACACGUAAAUAAAAUUAUAGUGAUUUUUAAGAAUAACAAGAGAAAACAAUGCACAAAGCAGUAAUAAGAUCCUUGGUGAUAUUUUAGAAGAGGACUCUACACAAAAAACAAAAGAGUAUCAGACAAAUUUAUAGAGAAAAAACAAUAUAGAAAAUGAACCUAAUCGUAUCUAAUAUAAUUCAAUCUGAAAAAGAUGGAAUAGGAACAUCAAAGAAAAAGAAAUGCAAAGAAGCAUUGAUGGAGAUCUGGGAAAACUCGGGAAUAGAGAAAAUAAGAAAAUAAUAGUUAAAUUUUGCUCAAUUGAUUGUUUUGUGAAGUUUGGGUAAAUAUUUUAGAUCCUUUGUGGUUCGUAUUUAACAAUAACUAAAAAAAUGUCAAUAAAAGUCAUUUCCCAUCAUUUUUUUAUGAGAUGCUGUUAAUAUCGUUCUUCAUUUUUCGCUUAUUUGUAUAUAAAUAUGCAUAGAAGAUUAUAUAUAGUUGUUGCAAACCCAACUAUUUUUCAGUCCUGGUUUUUGGAUAAAGUAAUCUCUGAUAAUCUCAAAUUUUUUCCCAUUCACUUUGAAGGCAUGAAUAGUAUUCAAUUCAAUUUCAAAUUCAUUAUGGAAUCGACUACAAUGUAUUAUGGACAUAAUACAAAAAAUUAUUUUUCUAUUACUGCACCUACAUAUGCAUCAGUUAUACUUUUCAUUUAUAAUGUUUUGGAAGCAAAAUAUUUUUUUUUCUUUGACAAUUUCUUUCGCUCACUGUAUAUAUAGAAUUAUUGGUAACUUCAAACUUAAAAAAUGAUUCCGUUCAUAAAAAAACAUACUAAAAAUUCACAUACUUUGGAGUUUAACUUUCUGAUGCUAUAUGUUAUUUUAAAAUUUUAAUAGACACGUGUUUAAAAUUGCAAAUCCGAAAAAUUGACGGUUAUCAAUUAUUAUUUUGCUAAAUUAACAAAGUGUAUCAAAAAGUUAUAAUAUUUAUUUAAAAGAAUUAAAGAUUACAAAGAAGUGAACAUACAUAUAAAACUUAAAAAUCUAAAGCGAAAAAUUGCAUACAUUUCAAGGAAUUUUACUUUAAACUUUCAAAUAACAUCUAGUAUUAUUAAGUUUUUAUCUCAACGUUCUACAACUACAAGAUGAAACUCUUGAAUUUUAAAGCAAAAUUUAACUUCUAGCUUAAGAUUUUUCUACUUUAUAUUAUAUGUGACGUUUUUACUUCUCUGUUUAAUAUUAUCAUCUUGAAUCUCAUUUUACUAUAUUAAUAAUAUGUCUAUACAUGUUAUGUUAAAUAUGCAUAGGUACUUGCAGUCAUUUUUUUGCAGAUCUUUUUUUUAAUUUCUUUCAAGUAACUAUUGAUAUGUGUUAUGAAUAUAAAUAUAACGUAAAAUAACAUUAACUAUGUUAAAUACUACAUAUCCUAACUCUAAAACACAAAAUUUUUUUAAAAAUAUAUGUUUUGUGUUUUGACAAUUUUCAAAGCAAUUUAUAAAAUUUAAAGCAACAUAUUAUCGUAUAAUCCGUUUGAAAAACAAUUAUAUUCCUUAAUCUAGGAUUAUUAUUCUACAUACACUCCAAGUUUCAUGAAAUAAAAAUUCCAAACCAUAAAAAAGUUAAAUAUUAACAAAUUUACAAUUAAAAUUUUUUUCUCACAGAUAUAGUCAAACAUCUAAUGCCUAACUAACUCCAUUAUUUUUAAUAUUAUGCACUAGUCUACACCAAUACAUUUAUAAAAUUUGAAAUACUAUUAGAUUCAAGAUGACAACUAGUUUAUAUAAAGCACACAAAGUGUUUAAAUAAUUUUGUCCAACUUCUUCAGAAGCAAUUAAAGAAGGACAAGUAAAUAACGAUAAAUAUAUCAUUAGUGAACAUAAAUUUAAAAUCGGAGCAAGUUCAAGUUUUUUAGAAUAACAAUAUUAUUAGUGACUGGCAUUUCUUCUUAUAGUUAGUUAGUAACAUAAUUUUUGUUUUAAAAUUGUUGUAAACAAAUAAUAAACUUGAAACGCAAUUUAGAUUCCGUGACUCAAUUAACCUCGAAUUGAUCGAACUGAUUACAAAAUAUGCAUAGUAAAAUGGUACCUUGAAUCAAUCAUAAAAUCUAUUUUUUCUUUUAAUUACCUUAUGAUAUAGUGGAUUGGUUAUAAGUAUUAAAAGGUCGAGAUAAAGAAAAACAAAGUUUGGUUUGGACGAUAGUGAACUUAUACUAAAGGUGGUAGUUAAAAAAUCCUCUACAAAAAUGAUAAGAGUGUUUGGAUAUCGCAGUAAAAUUAAAAUAUCGUAUUGCCGGUUUUUAGUUAGUAGCGACAUCUAUUCAAACUUUUAUAACGCAUACAUGACAAAAUCGUUUAUACUGAUGAUGAUUCAGCAAAAUUUCGUUAUAGAAAUUACUUGCAACUUAGCGUAAAUGUAAAAAACUCGUACCACAUUUUGGUGGAGUGUGGUAUUUCAAGUAUUGCGUAGCCGUUUGAACGUUUUACUUCUAAGGUAAAAAUUAUAAACACUGGAAGUAGGAGCAAGAUUGUUAAAUAAUUACUUGCGUUCUUCCGCAGGCACAAUGUUUUUCCAGACGGUAUUCAACUCGUAUUCGGAACCAAAAAAAAGAUUAUUGUUCCUGUAGCAGGAGAAGGAAUAAUUACACAACUCUACAGAAACAUUUUGUUUGUUGCCCUGGAUAUAUUUACAAGUACCCAUAUUGGAAACGUAUUCAUGAAAGUACUAGUCCAGGAGUUGUCAAUCUAAAAAGUCCCUUUAUACCGUGUAUGUAAUUUUUUUAUGAAAAUUGGUGGUACAAAAUUACAGGAAAUAAAAACGCGAGGUUUGUGUGGAUUUGCGAAGCCGGAAAAAUGUUUUAUUCGAAAGAAAAUUUCAUUCUCUUUUAGAAAAAAUUUACGCAAUCCAAUUUCCUCCAUCACACACGAUUAAAAAAAGCUUACCUGACUCUUCCGGCCAAAAAAAAUGGUUUGAGAAAAUUUUUUUCUGAAAGAGAAUGAAAUUUUCUAUCGAAUACACUUUAGGCAAACCACGAUUGAGAAACAUUCAUCGAUUUUUUCAAUAAUUCAUUUUUUAAAACCUCGUGUUUCCAAUUCCUACAGUUUUGAACUAUCAAUUUUCAUAAAAAAUUACAUACAUGGUAUGAGGGGACAUCACGUGCUCCACUCUCUCAGACUCUACCUUACAGAACAGCUGAUGUCUCUGUUAUUUGACAAUAUUGAUGUACUAGAACGUAAAGUGGAUAAGAUGUUAAAUGCAAAUAUCCUUCUAAUAUAUUUAUCUUGUCAUGAAGAAAGUGUAAAUAUAGUAAUAAUUUAUUUUGUUAUAUUUGUGCUGUUUGAUUAAAAUGAGCAAAUAAGGGUUCAAUAAAGUUUGUGUUGAGCCUUUACAGUUGUAGAUUAGACUUUGCUAGGUAGAAUAUUUGAUUGGCCUCUAAUACAGCAAUUGGAAGAUAGAGAAUUUUUCACAUCAAUGUUUUGAAAGUUGUGUGUUUUUAGUCGAAAAUGGUGAGCAAAUAUUGGUUAACUCCGCAAUCAUCUAGAUAAAUUUUCGGCUAAUUUAAAAAAUUAUAGCUAAGGUCGCUUGACAUGAUGUAAGGCAAUGUGCAAUAGAUUGCAUGCAAUUUCUUGCAAGAUCAAUACAAUGGACGAAUAUUCCGCGUCACUUGACAUUAUGUCCUUUGCCAUCGCGUCAUAAUUGCCACUAAUCAAAAUUAUAUAAGUAAUUCACUAUAUCAAAACGAGCAAAGAAUGAUAUUCCCACGAGUAUGAAGUUUGCAGUAGGCUCAUGCUACAAAUCAUAUGAAUGGAAAAUCAGCAUUUUAUGCGAGUUAUACACUAUAUUUUUUAUACGGCUUCAAUAUAUCUAAUAGAUAACAGUGAAACACCUUUUCUAUUGGAUCAACGGACUAUUAAGAAGAAUAGUCCAUAUUAUUUUUGUAGUUCCAAGUAAUAAUUUUCUUUUUUCAUGACAAGGGCAACGGCUAUUGUUGUUCAAUACAACGAUCGCCUUAAUGUCGGUCAGAAUGAGGUCCUCAUCUAAGUGAAUAUACGAAUAUUAAGUGAAUCCGAUCGGUGAUCGGUUUAAAAAUGAAAAUAACUUGCUAAGUAAAGUGAAAUAUCACCUAGGCGAUGUUGGGACAAGCACUGGAAUUAUAUGAGAAACCGUACAAAAAUUAUUCGAGAAUGGAUGAAGAAACAUUUGAAAAACUCUUAAUGAAACAUAAGAUAACUAAGAAAUCAUUAGCGGGAUAUGUGAUAUCAGCCAAUUAGAAACUUAUUUUUCUCUAGAAUUGCAACUUGCACGCAAUAAAAAAGGCACAAAACUGAUAAUGUUGCAAGAGCGAGAUCUUCCAUGAGCUGAACUUCAUCUGCGCAUGCUUUUGAUCAAGAAAUAUUGCCUAUUGCAUUGCACUGCACGUUGUAUUGCAUCAUGUCAGUCCUUUAAGAACACAAGAGAAUAUUGCAACAUGAUUUAAAAUUGAUGAAUGAAAGAAAUCGGGGAAGGUGAGAUGGUCACGUAAUGGUAGAUUACUACCGGUCUUUAAAAAGAGAUUAUUAUUCAAUAAAGUAUGGAAGAAAAGUUAAUAAGGCGUUUUAUUGGAAUAUAUUUUCUAAAUUGUGCCCUCUAUUCACUUCGAUUUAUCCUAAUUUUUCAAAACAAAAGUGACAUUAUAAACAUAUCUGUUAUUUUAUUUAAUUUUUUUAUGUAUUCAACGUAAAAAUGAAAAUAAAGAUUAAAAAAUGUGAAAUCUUAUAUCAAGGGCAACAAAAUCUCUGUCGGCCAAUGAUAUUUCAUUCGCAAUAUUCAUAAAAUAUUGAAAUAAUAAAUUUUUUAUCGAAACUAUUUUUUAAUUUAUAUAUAAUAAACAAAAAUUUUGAAACAUGACCUCGUAGAGUUUUGACUAGGCCCUUAUUAUUUGAAAAUGAAGCUUUGGAAAAAUAUGAAUCAUUUACCUUUAGUGUUUCAACCCCCACAUCACAAAAUAACAUUUAAGUAGAAUUUUAAACAUUUCAACAUCUCUUCCCAACUUUAAAAUAUUUUAAACAGCAAACUAUUUUUUAUGAAAUAAUAUAGAAAAAUGUGGUAUACGGACAUUGAUUUUUUGUUCCGCACUUUAGAAAAUUAUUUUUCCACAGUGGCACUUAUUCAAAUAUAAGAAAAACUCAAUAUGAGUCAAAAGAAGCUUAUAUAAUACAAAAUGAAAAUAUGUAUAUAAUCCCGCAUAUAUAAACAGUUUUUUUUUGAAUAUUUAAAUUUUUUUUUGUACACCAGGCAAAUUUUUUAAAAAGACCACCUUUUGCUCGUUGAUACUAUAUCACAAAAUGCUUAAUGCUUAUUGGGUCCGAGUAAUUUUAAAAAAAUUGGCCCGAUAUAGUUUUUCAUUUAAAUGAUAUCAUAUAUUGAUUAUAAAGGUAAAUAAUUAUCCAUAUAAUUAGAACGCUAUAACCGAGAAAAGUUAAAUA